UACGGAGGGUGCAAGCGUUAAUCGGAAUUACUGGGCGCAAAGCGCACGCAGGCGGUUUGUUAAGUCAGAUGUGAAAUCCCCGCGCUUAACGUGGGAACUGCAUUUGAAACUGGCAAGCUAGAGUCUUGUAGAGGGGGGUAGAAUUCCAGGUGUAGCGGUGAAAUGCGUAGAGAUCUGGAGGAAUACCGGUGGCGAAGGCGGCCCCCUGGACAAAGACUGACGCUCAGGUGCGAAAGCGUGGGGAGCAAACAGG
rnacentral:rRNA from 1 species